AGGAAACAGGAUUUUACUCUGGUGUAACACACAUCUCAAGUUUGAUUGCUCAGCAACUCUACCAAGUACUCUCACCACAUCUGAGGGAAAAACAGGACCAUGGUACAUAAACAUGAGGAUAAGACCUACUUUCAUCUCUGCUCUAGGAUCACUUCUGUAAGGAUCUACAAGCAAGCUUGCAUCUGCACUGUCCCUCUGCAGCAGAAGACGUGGUACUGUAAAACACUGGCUUACAGGACUGUGGCCAAGGGCAGGAAGACUUCUGCUUGUGUCUGUGUGUACAGAUAUUGCCAUGUGCACCUCUGGGGGUGCUGAAUUGUACGAGACAUGUAUAAAACUUGUUUGCUAUGAAGUAAAAGCAGUAAGACUGCUGAUCUCUGUUGGAAAUCAAACUGAUUGAUUCUGUGAUUUGGUCUAAAUAUAAACUAUUGCAUUUUAA